GUAGACUAGUCAGAGUUUGAUCCUGGCUCAGGAUGAACGCUGGCUGUGUGCCUAAUACAUGCAUGUCGAGCGAAGUGAUUUAUCACUUAGCGGCGAAUGGGUGAGUAACACGUACUCAACGUACCCUUCAGUUUGGCAUAGCGGUUGGAAACAACCGAUAAUUCCAAAUACUCGUAGAUGCCGCAUGGCAUUUACGGAAAAGACGCCUUAAAGCGUCGCUGGAGGAGCGGGGUGCGCAACAUUAGCUAGUUGGUAAGGUAGCGGCUUACCAAGGCGAUGAUAGGUAGCCGGCCUGAGAGGGUGGACGGCCACAAGGGGACUGAGAUACGGCCCUU
rnacentral:rRNA from 1 species